rnacentral:lncRNA from 1 species
UCCUCUUCGCUACACACGAGCCGGCAGCCUCAGGAACAUUUUCGACGCUGGCGAGUUACGUUAGAUCGUACUCGCGAACGCCAUUGUUACGCCCGUAUUACCCGCAGCCGUUUCACCACAGAGACUUCCGGAGAUUUCGCUUAACCCACAGCGCCCAGGGAAUGCCAACUCGGUUUAAUCAGCCUGCCCAAUAGAUGAGAAACGCGCGUAGCUGUUUCAAAGAAGUGUCAGAGAAUCCUUAUGGGCGGCGCCAAACGAGCACCACGAGUAAGGACGACAAGGACGACGAUGAGGUGUUCUUACCGGACAACCUGGCUCGCGCGAUUUAAUGAAAGUACGCGUCAAUAUUCAUAGCCUCGUGCGCUAUAAUAAUAUGGUAAAUGGCUUCUCGUCUCUCCUCGUUGUUAGCUUUACGAGCUGCAAAGUGCCAACGAUGUCAACCGUGACACGGUUGGCUACUUCUCACCGAGAGAAGAUCGACCGAUUUCAAUAAGGUAGGUGGAUGACGGUGUGUUCGUUCGGAAAGAAAACUUGAGAGCCAGCAGGUGUCGGAAG